CCGGUCUGAACUCAGAUCACGUAAGAUUUUAAAGGUCGAACAGACCCAAAUUAUUAGGUUUUGCCCCAUAACUAAUUCUUAAUCCAACAUCGAGGUCGUAAUAAAUUUUAUGAAUUUGGUCUUGUUAAAAAUUUUACGCUGUUAUCCCUUAGGUAAUUUAGUAUUGUUUUGUAUUUACAGAUUUAUUAAUAGUUUCACUUAUUAGUGUAAUUAAACAAUAAAAGGUUUUUGUUUUAUCGUCGCCCCAGCUAAAAACCAAUUAAUAAAUUAAUAUUUGAUGUUUUAAAACUCUAAAGGGUCUUUUUGUCUUUUAAAGUUUAUUUAAGAUUUUUCAMUUAGUGAUUAGUUUUAAUUUUUAAGGUAAGGAAUAAGUUAGUUUCUCAUUAAACCAUUCAUUCAGGCUUUUAAUUAAAAAGCAAUUUAUUACGCUACCUUAGUGCAGUUAAAUUACCGCAGCUAUUUAAAUUUUUCACUGAGCAGGAUCUAUAUAA
rnacentral:rRNA from 1 species